rnacentral:rRNA from 1 species
GACGAACGCUGGCGGCGUGCCUAAUACAUGCAAGUCGAGCGAAUCAAUAGGAGCUUGCUCCUGUUGGUUAGCGGCGGACGGGUGAGUAACACGUGGGCAACCUGCCUGUAAGACUGGGAUAACACCGGGAAACCGGUGCUAAUACCGGAUAAUCCUUUUCCUCUCAUGAGGAAAAGCUGAAAGUCGGUUUCGGCUGACACUUACAGAUGGGCCCGCGGCGCAUUAGCUAGUUGGUGAGGUAAUGGCUCACCAAGGCGACGAUGCGUAGCCGACCUGAGAGGGUGAUCGGCCACACUGGGACUGAGACACGGCCCAGACUCCUACGGGAGGCAGCAGUAGGGAAUCUUCCACAAUGGACGAAAGUCUGAUGGAGCAACGCCGCGUGAGCGAUGAAGGCCUUCGGGUCGUAAAGCUCUGUUGUUAGGGAAGAACAAGUACCGGAGUAACUGCCGGUACCUCGACGGUACCUAACCAGAAAGCCACGGCUAACUACGUGCCAGCCGCCGCUGUAA